rnacentral:ncRNA from 1 species
UUUGAGCCGAGGGGCAAUGUGGAAACAGCAGGGCAGCGCUGCCUGGGAACCGCAACAGAGAGCCCGCUUUGCGUGACGGAUUGGCUGAAGCGCUUAGAGAUAUUGAGCCCAAUGCAACGGGCAGCCAAGCAAUAGCAAA